rnacentral:rRNA from 1 species
AUUGAACGCUGGCGGCAGGCCUAACACAUGCAAGUCGAGCGGAUGAAGGGAGCUUGCUCCUGGAUUCAGCGGCGGACGGGUGAGUAAUGCCUAGGAACCUGCCUGGUAGUGGGGGAUAACGUCCGGAAACGGGCGCUAAUACCGCAUACGUCCUGAGGGAGAAAGUGGGGGAUCUUCGGACCUCACGCUAUCAGAUGAGCCUAGGUCGGAUUAGCUAGUUGGUGGGGUAAAGGCCUACCAAGGCGACGAUCCGUAACUGGUCUGAGAGGAUGAUCAGUCACACUGGAACUGGGACACGGUCCAGAGUCCUACGGGAGGCAGCAGUGGGGAAUAUUGGACAAUGGGCGAAAGCCUGAUCCAGCCAUGCCGCGUGUGUGAAGAAGGUCUUCGGAUUGUAAAGAACUUUAAGUUGGGAGGAAGGGCAGUAAGUUAAUACCUUGCUGUUUUGACGUUAACAACAGAAUAAGCACCGGCUAACUUCGUG